AAAACUUUGCAUGAAACUGUUAUACGAAGCAGAAGUAGAACUGUCUGGCUGAGGAAGGGGUGGAGGCUCUAAAGGGGCACUUGUUCUCCAUUCUUCCUGCAGUGUCCUCAGUGCAACCUUAGAUUCUGCCAACAUAGUUUGAAAACCAGCAGCUGUCAGAGAAUUCUAAUAAGCUGAACUCCACAGUACACUGUUCUGCUGUGCACAGUUUUGUCACCUUAUGUUUUUGGAAAUGAUGCAGCAAAAAUUGCAUUAAAGUAUAACUAGAGAAGUAAGAGAAGCUCCUGCCAAACUUGAAUCUGAAUCCUUUAAAGUUUCUUCCACAAGAUCUGCUAAUAAAUCAAGCCAAGGUCUAAUUUCAGAAACAUCACAAGAAUAUCUGGAGAUUUUAAGGAGAAGAUAUAAGAUCUGAAAAGACAAUUUUGUUUAUUGGACUUUAUAUAUAUAACAUUUAAAUUAUAUCCCAUAUGGUGUAUGAUAUGAACUUUGUUGAAG
rnacentral:lncRNA from 1 species